AUACUGGGAACACAACUAUCAACAAUGCAACAUUCUAGGGGUGCUAUUUUAUCAUUCAAGAGCCUUAUACAAUGAUUAUCAUCUGCAAUUUGUAUGGCCUUUCCCAAGCUUCUACCAGAAGUUGAAUCUAUGAGUCAUGUUAAUAGUAACAUUGCAUCUGAAAAGAUUCUUGGUUGGGGCAAGACACUGAAUAAAUUGUAUUGAUUCGAUGGAUGA